UUGUGGUCGCAGUAAAUGCGAGUUGUUGGUAAGAAAUACAUUUUUUCAUAUAUAUUUCUACCAAGAGGUUGUUAUGCGUGUUUAAAAACAUCAUAUAUUGAGUAUGUCUCGUUUUUAGCACGUUACUCGUGCACCGGUCCCGCUUGAACACAUGAAAUGACAGGCAUAGUCUGUUCAUCUGUAUUUACCUCUUAAAUCUUAUCAAAGUGGUGAUUUUGAGAAAUAAAAACACAUUAUUUUAACAAAUUAAGAGUUAUUCGCUUGUCAUCUUGCAAGAUUAACGUUGCCUCUCGUGCGGUGGGGUGGACACGAUCACACGUGUUUAACGUGAUAUGUUUGGCGUUUCCGUUGCCUUUAUUUUGUGCUACGUUUAUUGUUCUCUGAUUUUGAUAAGAGCCGUUUUCAAAGCACUGAAAACAGGCGUCAGACAAGUUGUGAUAUUUUCACAUGCAAAUAUUUUUACGGUCUCGUUUAACCCUGCGAGUUCGACACGGAAAGUCUGAACUCCCGUGAGACGACGCUUUUUAGUGCGUCUAUUUUCUAGCUGUUUCAUCGAGAGGUUGUUUGCGAGCGUAGCAAACAUACUUUAAACAGAUCUAUGUCUUUUCAGAUGUAAGUUCGUGGGUAAACGUAUGUCACUGGCUUGCGACUGACACUGUCCUGUUUAACCCCUUCGAAUUAGACACGUGUGCUGUGGUUGUACAGAGUUGUUGGGAAAAAUCUCAGAGAGAGCUUCUUUGAUGCUCUUGACCGUUUCUGUCCAAGUCUAAUGGACAUCUUCAGGAAGAAGAAAGGCCUUGCCAGUCAGCUUUUGGCAGACGGUUUAUUUGUCUACAUCAAUCUACCACUUCUCUUUCCUGUUGUCAUUUCACCCGUUUCUUCUCAUUUCUUCUUUGUAUUGGUAACUUGUCUGUGCACUCCUUCUCCUUACUUCUUUUUUUAAUUUUCUCUUCUCCAUGCUUAAAUCUCUUAAUUUAAUAUUUUGGUCUGUAUCAUAGCCAAACUGUUGUGUAAAAGAUCUGCCAUAUCUUCCAGACUACUGAUCCAACAGAUGUUCGGUCCCUUUGCCUUCGUGGACUGCCAGUCAUUUUAGGGGAUGACCCUUCUGCUUUCUUUAAGACCUGCUCUGACAUCAAUGAUGAGGACUCGUACCACCAAAUUCCAGUAGGAAUCCUCUGCGUUGAUGCAGAAAGUCCACAGCUAAACCCUUCCAGAGUGUGUAUCAUCUUGGAAGGGAAUUCAGUGAUGGAACCGGACAACUUGCCUCAGGCCUUCGGUCUUCUAUUUGGACUCAUUUAUGCCCUACACUUGGACUAUCCAAAGACUAUGAAAAACACUUUUUGUUUCAUCCAGCAGGUAUUUCUUAACCUUGGCAAGGUUGAGCUUGCACCCAAAAUUCAAUCCCUGAAAAAUCAGCUUACCGGUUAAAAGGUUUUUCUCCACAAACCAUCUGAAUGACAUUUAUAUUCUUUUUUUUAUGCAUUUUUUCCCUCUUAUUUCUUACUGUACUUUUGGCAAAAAGGCCAUGGUCCGAUUUUGUUCAAUAGAUAAAAUCUUUUUUUACUAGUAAAUAUUUGGUGCCAUGCAUUUUUUUUGUGGAGACUAAAAGCAGGACCCAAAACCUAGCGAUUUAAAUACUGCACGGCACACUAGAUUUUAUUCAGGGAAAAUUUUCACUUUCUUUGUUUAAUGUAAACAAUGCUGUUUAAUGUUAAUGCUGGUAUUGUUCUUACCAAGUUUAGUUAUCCAAAUUUUCAUUUCUAUUGUGAUCAAUAGAUCUAUUGUUCUUUCUCAUAAGCUGAGAACAUAACAGUGUAGUUGCCUGAUGGUAAUAACAUAACUAAGCCACACAAUGGCAAGAAAACAUGCUAUACAUAUGUUAUAUUUCUAUAGAAAAUAUUGUAUGUCAUGUGCUUAAGUGAAAAUGUUAGACCAAGCUUUCGUGUUAUUAAGGGAAUAGUCUACACAUUUUACACACAUUUUAAGCAUUUUAUUAAGGCUCAAGGUUACACGUUUAAAACUUGAGGGCAAUUUUCAAUAAAAGAAAAAGAAACAUA